UAUCUGUAUAUGAAGAGAUGUGAAAUGGUGGUCCACAUUUUUUUUGAUAGUACUGACAUAUCUGUCUUUUGCCCCCCAACCCCCUCCACACACAACCUUUAAUUCCACAGCCACAGUGACCAUCUGUAAUGCUACUCAGAAGUCAUCACAGUGUUUUGUGGCUUUGGGUGGAACUCUGGAUCUUAAGCUAAUGAACAAUGACAGGGGAUGUGAGCUGCAGUUUAAAAAGAACCGUACUCAAGGUCCUGAACAGAUAUUCAUCAUGAAAAAAAACAAAGUGUCCAUCAAAGGACCCACUGAAGGUAGAUCAGAGUUCUUUAUGAACAAUGGGACCUUCAGGUUAACCAAUGUUGAGAGGGCUGAUUCUGGACAAUACUUCCUGGAGGUCUACAAUUCUGAUGGGUCAAGUUUAGGAACCAGAAUAAUACAACUGGAUAUCAAAGGCAAGUAACAAAAUAGUAAUAUUAACAUAUUUGUUUGUGUACCUUUUUCUAUUGUUUAAUAUGGUUAAAAUAAUAGUGAUAAUAAUGAUGAACUUAAAACAGAUUUAUACUGAUGUAAGUAGUUGUGCAGUCAAAUGCUUAUGGCUCUUUAUGCAUGAGGCUUGUGCUACCAUUACCUUUAUGAAUGUUUCCAUUUGGCACAACACAGCAGUUAUUUGGAGAGAUGUAAAAUGUUUGCCAUAAUGUCUUUCAUUGAGAUGCUUCUGAUAUGAUUGAAUUACACUGUUCUGCUUCUCUGUUUCUCCAUCUACCUGAAUGUCCGUCCCUCACCAAAGGGGCAAGUUUAGAAACCAAAAAAAUACAACUGGAUGUCAAAGGCAAGUAACAUUAAAUCAAUGGUUCCAAUUAUUCAGUAAAAUGCAUAAAAUUGGUUUUACAAUUACUUAGUAAGACUUUUUAUAUUCAACACAACACAGAAAUAACAAAUAGAGAUGUCAGCACCCAUGUCUUUCAUUGAGAUACCACUGACAUGAUUACAUUACGCUUUUCUGUUUUCUUGUCUAUCUGUUGGUAUGUCUGUCCCACACACAAGGGACAAGUUUAGGAACCAGAGAAAUAAAACUGGACAUCAAAGGCAAGUAUCAUUAUAUUAAUGUGACCACCUGUAAUGCUACGCAGAAGUCAUCACAGUGUUUUGUGGCUUUGGGUGGA
ensembl:lncRNA